rnacentral:lncRNA from 1 species
UGGGAACAGAGCCACCUGUCAGGAGGAAGAACAGGUUGCGCCUAACUCGAGGGUGCUCCCAAGCGGCUGUGGACCAGCAAUGGUCCCUGCAGAGAGAGGCAAGAAGUGUGAGCCAAACCGUCAGCUGGGGGCUCUGUUCCACGUUACUCUCACUCUGGACACCAGGCUGACGUGAGAAACACUAACUGGAGUACCGCUGGUUGCUAUGGAGAGAGAAAGAAGUGGGAGAAUUUGUAUUGGCUCUUAAAAUAUCUGCUCCCAUGUCAUUGGUCAAAGCAGGUCCCGUUCCACAUCUAACUUCAAAGAGGAUAUGGAAGUAUACUCCCAUCACGUGUCUGGAAAGAAGGAAACAGGAUGUUUGUGAAGAGCGUGAGAAUACUACACGACUCUUUCAGUUGCAAAUAACAUAAACCAAAUUUUAAUUGGCCGAAGCAGAAAAGGGAAUUUGCUGACUCACGUAAGUGUAGGGAUUGUUUGGCUUCAAACACGGUUGGAUCUAGAUAGUCAAAGAUGUCUUCAGUGCUCCAUCUCUCUUUUGUCUGGUCCUUAUUCUCAGCUAGCGGCCUCCCAAGUCACGACAGAAACAGCCAUCAGAAAGUUUCACAAUUAUUUUCCAUCAACUAUAAAAAGGAGAGUCUCAGGGCAGUGUGGUGGCAUAGUGGCUGAGUUCGCACACUCCGCUUUGGCAGCCCGGGGUUCACUGGUUCGGAUCCUGGGCAUGGACCUACACACUGCUCAUCAAGCCAUGCUGAGGCAGCAUCCCACAUAGAAGAACUAGAAGGACUUACAAGUAGGAUAUACAACUAUGUACUGGGGCUUUGAGGAGAAAAGAAAAAAUUAUUUAUAAAAAAGGGAGAAUCUCUUCCCACUCUGUUCCACAAAAGUACCUGGAAUGAUUUCCAUUGGCCUAGAUUGAGUCACAUGUCCAUUCCUGGUCCACUCUCUCUGACUCUGAUUAGUCUGGCCUGAUUCAGGUGCCCAGGCUUUUGGAGCUGGGAAGUGAGUCAGCCCCACUUGAAAACUGUGGAUGGAUAAUGGGGGAGGGUUGUCUUCUCCAAAUGAAGAGAUGAUUCCAUUACUAGAAGAAGGGACACUGGGCAGGCCAAAACAAAAGAUAUUCAUCGUGUUCUCUCUUCCCUUUUGUGGUGGGUCAGAUGCACCUGUGAUGGAAUCCUGUUGGAAUGUGUGACCCCAGGCUUAUACCUGCUACCACCCUUCAAUUUAUGCUCAAGGAAAGGCUAGGGCUUACUUCUCUGAGCAAGGUGUGGUGGGGAGGAGCUGCUUAGAAGUGGGCUAUGGAAGAGGAAUGAUCAAAGAUAA